GUUGCGAACCAAUGCUGGAAAUAGAAAUUUUGUUGCAAUACUUGUGGCUGUAAAUCUAUUUCCUGUCAACCAAACAGCCCCCAGUUCAAUUGAUAUCAUUAAACAUGGAGAUAGGGACAAUAAUAAGGUUGUUUUGGGUUGGGUGUUAGUUUUUCAGAAAUCAUUAUGAUUAGAACUUGCAAUAAGGGGACUUACAGAGGAUGAGGAGAAGUAUGCGGUGAGUGAUUUUUUGUAUUUUCAAUAAAUGUGAGACUGUGCUUGCAAGAAACUAAGCUCGAAGAUGUUUCAGAUAUAGUGUGUUCUGAAUAUCUUCUUACAGACUGGGUUUGUAUGCUGUUUAUUUAUGCUUCAGGAGGUAUACUCAUUGGUUGGAAUGGUACUAAAUGGAGGAAAGUUAUAGAGGUCGUGGAGCAAUAUGUUUAAGAUGUAUCAAAUCAUGAGGUGUGGGAAUUAUCAUCCGUAUAUGGGCCUCAUUACAGGAAGGAGAGACAAGUUUUUGUCAAGAACUGAGAAAUGUAAAGUCUUCCUUUUCUGAAGUCUGUUGCUGGUAAUUUUAAUAUUACAAUAAGUGUGGGGGAGAGGAAAGGUAGAUCAUGUCAUUCUAAGGAUAUGGAGAAAUUUGGAGGUGCAAUCGAUGAGCGUGAAUUGAUGUAUAUCUUGUCCCUCUGACUGAUAAAAAAUAUACUUUGUCUAAUAAAAGGAGUUCUUCAACCUUGGCAGGUUAGAUACAUCUCUUUCAGUACGGAAUGGGAGAAAAUUCUUGCUAGCCAAGUAUCAGAUAGUGCACUUGUGGAGUUGAUUUUUAAUAAUUACAGACAUGCUGCAAAGUUGUUCAUGUUUGAGAAGUUUUGGUUGCUAAUUUUAGACAGUAUUUUUAUGCUCGAAGGCGUGAAGCUCAUACUCAUUCAUCAACUGCUAAUAUCAUUGGCAAGGUAAGAUUUUUGAGGAAGAAGAUUAAAAGUUUCGCUGAUAAUGAAUUUUUUUUUUAAAAGGAGACAGAAGGGGAUGAUUAAGAAUUAGGAGUCGGCAACUUGAUCAAGGGCAAGGAAACAGAAUUAUAUAAAUCAACUGGAACUGGAAGAGAAGGUGAAGAAUUGGGAGGAUCUCUAAAGCUUAAGAGGAUACUGCGGCAAAUGAGGAGAAGCAUUUUGAGAAUUGCUCAGGGAAUAGCUUUUGUCUAGAGAAGCAGGAGGCUCCAAUGAAAAAAUAACCAACCUGCAUUGGAAAAAGCUUUCUCAGAGCUACAGUCAAGGACUUGGAACAAGUACUAUGAAUGAGAAAGCAAAUAUGGGUGGUUCUCCUAGGGGAGAAGCUAUUGUUGGUGAUAUCACACCCUCGGAUGGAAUUCCUAAAGAAGAAAAGAGUAGGCGUGAGCAGGCGGCUCUGAAUGAAAUGUGUGAAGUCCUUGGUGGAGGAUCAAGGGGCUGAUGAAGUAAAGGAGCUUUGGCCAGAUUAUGAAAACAAUGCUUCAAUAGAGGCUAGUCUUGUGAAGGAUUUUGAUAAAGUAUCAUCUAAGCCUCUUUUUAACUUAUCUUCUUUUUUUCCCCUUGAGAAACCACAGAUUUAUUUGUUUUAGCUUUAUUUAUAUCACAUUGCCAUGUUGAAUGGAAACCCUAUUUAUUCAUUUUUAAUUCAUAAUUGUGUUGAGUUACAAGAACGUUUUGUAUUGAUUUAUAUGUCCCUUAAUAUUUGAAUAUACAGUCGAUGUGUGUUUAGUGGGGAGUAAGGUCCAUAUAGAUUUGGAAAAUCACUUACCAGUAUCAUAUAAAUGCAGGUCGAAAUGAUUCUUCAAGCUUUGGAAUAUGAAAUGGGGCUACUAGUUGAAUUCUUUCUAACAAUAUAGUGAUAGCAGAAAUGGAGUUACAGUUUGAUGCAUAUUUUGUGCAAUUUUGUACUCAAAUAGAUUGAGAGGCGUAUAUACUACGACGAAGUGGAGAGCUUAGUUGUCGAGUUGCUCCAGACAACUUCCUCGUUGGUGUUGGAUGUACCAAGGGCUAAACGAUUUCAGCGAAAGGUCGGAAACUGGUGGAAGCUUCGGUCCAUUGAUGAUGUAGCUCUGGUUAUUUACCCGCCUGAAGAAAAUGAAGCAGAAUCAGAAGAAAAGAACGAGACGAGUCCUGCUAUGUUCCCUCUUGUUUUAAGCCUUUGUCAACUGGAAGAAGCUUCUGCAGUGUCAUAGCCAUUGUAAAUAAUUUAUGUAAAAGUUUGUAAACAAUUUAUGUAUCUCUCUAUUAUUUUGGUGAAUGUAUUACUUGAAUAUAAUAGGAUUUGAUAUUGGAAUAUAAUUAGAUUGUGUUGGAUA